rnacentral:lncRNA from 1 species
AGUCCUAGAAGGGAACACUGGAAUGACUGACACUUCAAAAAAUACAUUGUUGGCUUGUCUGUGAAGGAUACUCAUAUAGUCAUCCAGUUGCCCUUCUGCUCCACCUCAAAGACAUAUAUCAACCAUGAGGGUUAUUUUAGAAAGCUUCUAAAGUGAAAGUCCUAAAAUGGAGUCCUAGACGGAAACAAUGGAAUGGCUGACAUUAGUUGCAAAUACAUCAUCGAAAUGUCUAUAAGGAUAUUAAAAAACUAUAAGGAUAUUCAUAUAGUCAUUCCAGUUGCCCUUCUGCUCCAUCUAAAGGAAAUACAUCAACCAUAUGGGUUAUGCUAGUAAGCUGCUGGUACAGCCUUCAAUAUGAUGAUUUUAAGAACUGUCCGAGCACAGUGAACAACUAGUUGGUGGGAGGGCACAUUUUUUAUCCUGCUUCAGAAUUUUUAAGCAUUGAGCUUGAUGUUUUAAAUAAUUCUCUUAUGGAUCAUUUUCAUCUCUGAAAUAGCAUAAAAAGUAUUAUUUUGACUGAUCUUGUUUUGAAGUAGCUUUUUAAAAGAAGUGGCCAGACUUUUGAGUAAUUUUUGUCCUCAUCAAGUGGUUUAGAUUCAGUGUCUAAUGGUUCAUUUUCUGAAAGGAUGGAAUAGAUUUGGAUUUCAUACCUUCUGUGUCUUACUUGAUGAGUGUUUUUUACUAGUAGCAAUGUGUGUGGCUGGCUAAUCUCCAGUAUUUGUGGGAAACUAACUACUGAACAAAGAACUGAUUCCUUUGGUUUAUAAUCGUUACAUCAUUCCAUCGUAGGCAAGCUUUUGAUUUGCUCAUAUAUUUAUUCAUGUUGUUUAUGUUGGCAAGCUGCUGAUCCAAAUGACCUUUCGUGCCUUUUAUAUGAUGAUUUUAUGGACAAACUAUUUGCUCGCCCUAUGUCCUACUACACAGAGAUAUCUUUCUUAUAUGAAUGGCCUAAGUCUUGGAGGGGGACUGAAUGAUUGAAACGAGUCGUUACUAGAACAAGAUGCAUGUUGAUAUGAAUAUUGUCGCGUAACGGUUGGGAUGCCGA